CGAAUCUAAGCUGGCCGAAGACAAGAAAACCGUCGUUUAAGGAAUAAUCAAAUUCUCUAACUUACCGGAUCCAAAGAACGUUACUUCGAAGCGUCCGUUUGGACUGUUUCCAAGUUUCGACUGUUACGACGGUCAGAUGAUCUUCCAUUUUCCUGCGCGUCUUGCAAUGGCAGCAUUGUCAGACAGCGGUUCGAGUCCGCGAUCUUCAGGACGGCCACGAGGACCAACAGGCCCGCCACGGAUCCGGGUCUCAGCAUCGUGACCUUCUCAUCCUGCAACAGACGAGGGCGAUCGACGCCCGAUAUUGAGAUGCUCGUUAGAAAUGGAUUAAUUUAGUCACGAGGGCGGAUCGAUCGGUCAGAUUAACAUCUCGCUACCUCGUCCUUGAUCUGCUUGUCGCUGGUAUUGAUGAUCACCUCGUGCACGGUGGUGCCGAUCUCCGAAGCCUGAUCCUUGCCGGUCUCGCAGGCCCACACCAUCAGCACCAUUUUCACAAAGAAAUAUCCUAUCGACAUGGUGAAUAUGUAGAAGUACAGGCUGAAGGUGAUCUCGGCGAAGGUCAUGACGACGGUAGCGAGAAGCUGCA